AAUUUAUAAAUUUAAAAUUUAAUGUAUUUACUACAAUGUUUGAGAUACUUCUCUAUACCAUUAAUGAUCAUCAUUUUCUCUAUUUUGCUCUAUGUGUCCAUGAUAAAAUUUUUCUCAAGCUUUCGUUUCAUUGCUCUUGCUUAAAAAGCAUAAACCGCAGAAGUUCAUUCUUCUGUCUGAAAUAUUACUAGAAAUAGUUAAUAUUUUAGUUAAUUUUUGUCGCUCUGAUUAUGGAUGUAAAUUUCAGCAAAAAUCGAAUGAAAGAGAAGAGAAACCAACCAACUUUAAAUUACAAAAGUGAGCUUUAGAUAGGGAUAAAUUUAAUUUAGUGCAACAAUAAUAAUAAAAAUAAAGUAUGUAAUAAAAAUUUAGACUCAAAGUAAUUGACUUUCAAAUUUAAAAAAAAAUCCAAUUUUGGUUAAUUUCUAAUCAUAAUUUCUGCAUCAGUGGCGUAGCUAGGGUGGGGCAAGGGGGGACAUCUGUCCCCGGGCGCAGCAUUCAGGGGGCGCUAAAUUGAUGUUACGAAAUUUUAGAAUGAAAUGCUUUCCGUUCUUGGCACAGAGAAAGGGGCGCAAAAUCUUCAGUUGUCCCCGGGCGCUGAAAACCCUAGCUAUGCCUCUGUUCUGCAUAAUUAUAGCACUCAUUAAAAAAGUAGCAGUUAGCUGCAGUAGUCAUUUAGUCAGCAGUUGUUCACUUUUAUGCCACAAGAUGGCGGCACAAAAUUAACAACGUAUACUGCUCGAAUUCUAAUGUUGUUAAAAUUAAAUAUACCUCAGAUUCACAGGACCAUUAAAAAUUUUUUUUCAUUUAAAUUGACUUUCAAUAUUUGAUCAAAAACGUGUUUUUUAGGAAAUUUAUUGUAAGGGUUUCUUCCUAUAUGAGUUUUAGAAGGAUUAUCUAAGGAGCAAAUUUUUGUUUACCUUAGUACAACAAAGUGAAAGAAUGAUAAAGUAUCCUCUCCUGCUAGAAAAAAUAGAGGCAUGCAAUUCCUCAGGCAGAUCGACUACUUUCGGAGAAUGAUGAUGAAUGUGAACUUCAUUUUCCAGAAACUUAUAUAAAACGCUUUUAUGAAAUCAAGCUCCCCGAUGAUACAGUAUCAAAGUUGGAAAUGGGACUCCAAGAAGGAGCAAUACUUUUAAAAUUUUCCAAAUUCGCCAGUGUAUUUACAUAAACUGCAAGUAAAAGAAAAGCAUCUGCCGCAAGAAAUACUGCUUCAACUAAAAAGAAACUUCCUUUAGAUAGCCAUAAAGGAUUUUACAUUUCCUCUGUUGACUAAAACUCUACAGAAGAUUUCCAAACCAAUUUGUGUGUGGAUUGAGAAUUCUCUAGUUAAAUUCACUGUAUGUGCUCAAUGGACUACAGAUUACACAUGUAAGAAAAUUAUAACAUAAAGAUAUCAUUAUAAUGGUUA